GCUAAUUUUUCUUAAAAGGUAUUGAAACCAUUAUGGACACUCAAUUAAAUCAGGGGUUCAGCCUAUGGACAUCAAUUCUUGGUCUCCUAAGCACAAAAUAGCCAGAAAUAACUCAAGACAUUCUCUGAUGCUUGGCUGACACACCACAAACCAUCACAACCAACUCAGAGGCAGGAGAGUUUUACUCAGCUAAGUCAACUAAGGUUAUGCUUGAUGUAUAUCCUUGCUGAAUAUCCUUCCCCUUCUAUGGCUUCAUUAAUCUCCUUUCCUUUCCUCAAGUCUCUUUCUAACACAACCUAACUAUUCAGUUGCCAGUGAUCUUUCCAAAGUCGUCUAACCAUUUCAUCUAUUCUACUCAAUAAACUCCAGUGACUCCCUAUUACCUCCAGGAUGAAAUAUAAAAUCCUAAAUUUGGUUCCUAAAGCCCUUCAAAACCUAGACUCUUUCAACCUUUCCAAUCUUCUUUCAGAAAGGAAGGAAGAAAAAGGAAGGAAGGAAGGAAGGAAGGAAGGAAGGAAGGAAGGAAGGAAGGAAGGAAGGAAGGAAGGAAGGAAGGAAGGAAGGAAAAAAAAGGAAGGAAAAAAAAGGAAGGAAAAAAAAGGAAGGAAAAAAAAGGAAGGAAAAAAAAGGAAGGAAAAAAAAGGAAGGAAGGAAGGAAGGAAGGAAGGAAGGAAGGAAGGAAGGAAGGAAGGAAGGAAGGAAGGAAGGAAGGAAGGAAGGAAGGAAGGAAGGAAGGAAGGAAGGAAGGAAGGAAGGAAGGGAAAGAAAGAGAGAGAAAGGAAGAUAAU
rnacentral:lncRNA from 1 species